UGGUGAGAACUAGGGUUAAUAUUUUUGGUGUU
rnacentral:piRNA from 1 species